GGAUGUGAGGGUGAUCUGGCUGUGACAUCUGUCAUCCCAUUGAUCAUCAGGAUUGGUUCGGCUGAUCUAUCAGGAUUGAUUUGGCUGAUCUGGCUGGCUAGGCGGGUGUCCCCUUCCUCCCUCACUGCCCUAUCUGCAUCCUUCCCGAAGCUGUGCGCUCGGUCAAAGAGGAUGACCUUCUAAUAGAGAAGGACUGGCCUUCAGUCAAGGGUAUACCAGUAGCUGUGUGCUCCUGCUAGAACCUCCAAACAAGCUCUCAGGGGUACCACUGAAAACUCUCUUCUAGGCUUCCAGUGAAGAUGAUGAGUGAGCUUUCUGAGAAUAGCAGCAGCAUGUUCUCUGGGAUUCCUU
rnacentral:snRNA from 1 species